rnacentral:rRNA from 1 species
GAGUUGUAAUUUGCAGAGGGUGCUUUGGUGUUGGCUGUGGUCCAAGUUCCCUGGAACAGGACGUCACAGAGGGUGAGAACCCCGUACGUGGCCGCCAGUCUUCGCCGUGUAAAGCCCCUUCGACGAGUCGAGUUGUUUGGGAAUGCAGCUCUAAAUGGGAGGUAAAUUCCUUCUAAAGCUAAAUAUUGGCCAGAGACCGAUAGCGCACAAGUAGAGUGAUCGAAAGAUGAAAAGCACUUUGGAAAGAGAGUGAAACAGCACGUGAAAUUGUUGAAAGGGAAGCGCUUGGAGCCAGACGUGCCCGUAGAUGCUCAGCCGGGGUUCUCCCCGGUGCACUCUUCUGCGGGCAGGCCAGCAUCAGUUUGGGCGGUUGGAUAAAGACCUGCUAAACGUACCUCCCCCCGGGGAGGACUUAUAGGGUAGGCGGCAUACAACCAGCCCGGACUGAGGACCGCGCAUCUGCUAGGAUGCUGGCGUAAUGGCUGUAAGCGGCCCGUCUUGAAACACGGACCAAGGAGUCUAACAUCUAUGCGAGUGUUUGGGUGUCAAGCCCGAGCGCGCAAUGAAAGUGAACGCAGGUGGGAGCCCCUCGGGGCGCACCAUCGACCGAUCCUGAUGUCUUCGGAAGGAUUUGAGUAAGAGCAUAGCUGUUGGGACCCGAAAGAUGGUGAACUAUGCCUGAAUAGGGUGAAGCCAGAGGAAACUCUGUGGAGGCUCGCAGCGGUUCUGACGUGCAAAUCGAUCGUCAAAUUUGGGCAUAGGGCGAAAGACUAAUCGA